rnacentral:lncRNA from 1 species
GCAAAAAUGAUAUUAUAAUUCAACAUUAAUACAUUAUUCGGAACCUUACAUAUGGUUCAAAUAAUAAUAACACAUCCAAAGUGUAUAAAUCUUCAAGUAUCACACUGAUCCAUGUCUUUCAAGUAACACAUAACUUUACCAUGUCCGUUUAAAACGACGAUAACCCCGGUGAGGAGUCAAAACGCUAUCUUACCGUCUCAACAAGAUGAUA